GUGCGUGCGUCCUCGGGCCGCACCUGGGCCCGCGUGGUUUGAGGUUUGUGCUCGCUGCUGCAGUCUAUGGGGAUGGCUACGUGGGCAGAAAAGCCAGGCUAUAGUGAAGAAAGCGUAUUGUCCGGUCAUCUUUCCUUUCUUAUGAUUCUGCUUGCUAAGGCUCCUUGGAUAAACGCAGCCUCUGCCUUCUCCCUGACCGCAUCUCCACAGCUGAGCGUCAUCGUCAGCUACACACAAGACUCCAAAGAGCUUGGUGGAAGAGGAAGGCCACAGACUGUUCUAGGUGGACUAGCAGAGGACACAGAGUGUGAGCCACACAGAAGUUCUGUGGCUGAUCCACUGCGCCAAGAAAACACUGGCAGUUUAACUCCAGCAAGGCAAAUUUUCUAAGCUAGGAGAAAGCAUGGAUGUGUCCUCUUAUGUGUGAGACUCUAGUUGAAGACUCUGCUUGAGUAUCAGUAACCCCCACCGGAUUUGCCUUUGUCUUGGUGGAUUGGCAAGAGGACAAUUUCAAGAACUGAUGAGUUUCUAGUGUAAAAAGCAUAUAAUGAGAAUUCUUGUCUCUGGGAGAAUGUCACUGUAAUGAUAGCCAAAGUAAUGAGGCAGAAAUACCAUGAAUAAUUGAAAAACACAUGGUGAAGAAUAAUUAUGCAAAAUAAUCUUUUUUCCAUUAAAAUUUUCAUUUGAGAUCUUGUGAAGAAGAAAAAAAAAAUGAACAAGAUAAACUCCUUUAAAAAAAAAAAAUCAACUACGACAGGACUUCCGUGGUAGU